AGUGGAAGCUGCGGCAUCAACCCUGUAGACAAAGAAGAAAAUACCUUUUGUCUGCAGAAGGCAGCGAUCCUACAUGAACAUGGAGGUCUCUGUCUGACUUAGGAAAGCUCGCUAAGUCUGAUCGUUCCCCUCCAUACACU
rnacentral:snoRNA from 1 species